rnacentral:rRNA from 1 species
CAUAGCGUAAUGAAGCGAACCGGGGGAACUGAAACAUCUAAGUACCCCGAGGAAAAGAAAUCAACCGAGAUUCCCCCAGUAGCGGCGAGCGAACGGGGAGCAGCCCAGAGUCUGAAUCAGCUUGUGUGUUAGUGGAACGGUCUGGAAAGUCCGACGGUACAGGGUGAUAGUCCCGUACACCAAAAUGCACAGGUUGUGAACUCGAAGAGUAGGGCGGGACACGUGGUAUCCUGUCUGAAUAUGGGGGGACCAUCCUCCAAGGCUAAAUACUCCUGACUGACCGAUAGUGAACCAGUACCGUGAGGGAAAGGCGAAAAGAACCCCGGCGAGGGGAGUGAAAAAGAACCUGAAACCGUGU